GAUGAACGCUAGCGGCAGGCUUAAUACAUGCAAGUCGAGGGACAGCACAGGUAGCAAUACUGGGUGGUAACCGGCAAACGGGUGCGGAACACGUACACAACCUUCCUUUAAGUGGGGGAUAGCCCAGAGAAAUUUGGAUUAAUACCCCGUAAUAUAGUUGAAUGGCAUCAUUUGAUUAUUAUAGCUACGGCGCUUAAUGAUGGGUGUGCGGCUGAUUAGAUAGUUGGCGGGGUAACGGCCCACCAAGUCUACGAUCAGUAGCUGAUGUGAGAGGAGGAUCAGCCAGACGGGCACUGAGACACGGGCCCGACUCCUACGGGAGGCAGCAGUAAGGAAUAUUGGUCAAUGGAUGCAAGUCUGAACCAGCCAUGCCGCGUGAAGGAUUAAGGUCCUCUGGAUUGUAAACUUCUUUUAUUUGGGACGAAAAAGGGUCUUUCUAGACCAACUGACGGUACCAGAUGAAUAAGCACCGGCUAACUCCGUGCCAGCAGCCGCCGUAACAC
rnacentral:rRNA from 1 species